AAGUCGUAACAAGGUUUCCGUAGGUGAACCUGCGGAAGGAUCAUCUUUGUAGGCAACUCUGCUCCGCAGAGUUGGUUACUACUCAUGCACCUGUGAACGCAGCGCAGCUGCACAUUUGCGUAGCUUGUGGAAUAUAUAAAGAGAAUAAAUAGAAUGAACCGAAUACAACCUUUAGCAAUGGAUCUCUUGGCUUCU
rnacentral:misc_RNA from 1 species